rnacentral:rRNA from 1 species
UUAAGUUAAUAAGGGCGCACGGUGGAUGCCUUGGCACUAGAAGCCGAUGAAGGACGUGACUAACGACGAAAUGCUUUGGGGAGCUGUAAGUGAGCAAUGAUCCAGAGAUGUCCGAAUGGGGGAACCCGGCAGGUAAUGCCUGUCACUCAUUACUGUUAAGGUAAUGUAGAGGAAGACGCAGUGAACUGAAACAUCUAAGUAGCUGUAGGAAGAGAAAGCAAAAGCGAUUGCCUUAGUAGCGGCGAGCGAAACGGCAAGAGGGCAAACCGAAGAGUUUACUCUUCGGGGUUGUAGGACUGCAACGUGGACUUAAAGAUUAUAGAAGAACUACCUGGGAAGGUAGGCCAAAGAGAGUAAUAGCCUCGUAUUCGAAAUAGUCUUUAUACCUAGCAGUAUCCUGAGUACGGCGAGACACGAGAAAUCUCGUCGGAAUCUGGGAGGACCAUCUCCCAACCCUAAAUACUCUCUAGUGACCGAUAGUGAACCAGUACCGUGAGGGAAAGGUGAAAAGCACCCCGGGAGGGGAGUGAAAUAGAACCUGAAACCGUGUGCCUACAACAAGUUCGAGCCCGUUAAUGGGUGAGAGCGUGCCUUUUGUAGAAUGAACCGGCGAGUUACGAUAUGAUGCGAGGUUAAGUUGAAGAGACGGAGCCGUAGGGAAACCGAGUCUUAAUAGGGCGCAUUAGUAUCAUGUCGUAGACCCGAAACCAUGUGACCUACCCAUGAGCAGGUUGAAGGUGAGGUAAAACUCACUGGAGGACCGAACCAGGGCACGUUGAAAAGUGCUUGGAUGACUUGUGGGUAGCGGAGAAAUUCCAAACGAACUUGGAGAUAGCUGGUUCUCUCCGAAAUAGCUUUAGGGCUAGCGUCGAUGUUAAGUCUCUUGGAGGUAGAGCACUGUUUGGGUGAGGGGUCCAUCCCGGAUUACCAAUCUCAGAUAAACUCCGAAUGCCAAUGAGAUAUAAUCGGCAGUCAGACUGCGAGUGCUAAGAUCCGUAGUCGAAAGGGAAACAGCCCAGACCACCAGCUAAGGUCCCAAAAUAUAUGUUAAGUGGAAAAGGAUGUGGGGUUGCACAGACAACUAGGAUGUUAGCUUAGAAGCAGCUAUUCAUUCAAAGAGUGCGUAAUAGCUCACUAGUCGAGUGACCCUGCGCCGAAAAUGUACCGGGGCUAAAACAUAUUACCGAAGCUGUGGAUACCUUUAUAGGUAUGGUAGGAGAGCGUUCUAUGUGCGAAGAAGGUGUACCGUGAGGAGUGCUGGAGCGCAUAGAAGUGAGAAUGCCGGUAUGAGUAGCGAAAGACAGGUGAGAAUCCUGUCCACCGUAAGACUAAGGUUUCCAGGGGAAGGCUCGUCCGCCCUGGGUUAGUCGGGACCUAAGGAGAGACCGAAAGGUGUAUCCGAUGGACAACAGGUUGAUAUUCCUGUACUAGAGUAUAUAGUGAUGGAGGGACGCAGUAGGCUAACUAAACCAGACGAUUGGAAGUGUCUGGCCAAGCAGUGAGGUGUGAUAUGAGUCAAAUGCUUAUAUCUUUAACAUUGAGCUGUGAUGGGGAGCGAAGUUUAGUAGCGAAGUUAGUGAUGUCACACUGCCGAGAAAAGCUUCUAGCGUUAAUUAUACUCUACCCGUACCGCAAACCGACACAGGUAGUCGAGGCGAGUAGCCUCAGGUGAGCGAGAGAACUCUCGUUAAGGAACUCGGCAAAAUGGCCCCGUAACUUCGGGAGAAGGGGCGCUGACUGAUGGUCAGCCGCAGUGAAUAGGCCCAAGCAACUGUUUAUCAAAAACACAGCUCUCUGCUAAAUCGUAAGAUGAUGUAUAGGGGGUGACGCCUGCCCGGUGCUGGAAGGUUAAGAGGAGUGCUUAGCGUAAGCGAAGGCAUGAAUUGAAGCCCCAGUAAACGGCGGCCGUAACUAUAACGGUCCUAAGGUAGCGAAAUUCCUUGUCGGGUAAGUUCCGACCCGCACGAAAGGCGUAAUGAUUUGGGCACUGUCUCAACGAGAGACUCGGUGAAAUUUUAGUACCUGUGAAGAUGCAGGUUACCCGCGACAGGACGGAAAGACCCCAUGGAGCUUUACUGCAGUUUGAUAUUGAGUAUCUGUACCACAUGUACAGGAUAGGUAGGAGCCUAUGACCUCGGGACGCCAGUUUCGAGUGAGGCGUUGUUGGGAUACUACCCUUGUGUUAUGGCUACUCUAACCCAGAUAGGUUAUCCCUAUCGGAGACAGUGUCUGACGGGCAGUUUGACUGGGGCGGUCGCCUCCUAAAAGGUAACGGAGGCGCCCAAAGGUUCCCUCAGAAUGGUUGGAAAUCAUUCGCAGAGUGUAAAGGUAUAAGGGAGCUUGACUGCGAGAGUUACAACUCGAGCAGGGACGAAAGUCGGGCUUAGUGAUCCGGUGGUUCCGUAUGGAAGGGCCAUCGCUCAACGGAUAAAAGCUACCCUGGGGAUAACAGGCUUAUCUCCCCCAAGAGUUCACAUCGACGGGGAGGUUUGGCACCUCGAUGUCGGCUCGUCGCAUCCUGGGGCUGUAGUCGGUCCCAAGGGUUGGGCUGUUCGCCCAUUAAAGCGGCACGCGAGCUGGGUUCAGAACGUCGUGAGACAGUUCGGUCCCUAUCCGUCGCGGGCGUAGGAAAUUUGAGAGGAUCUGCUCCUAGUACGAGAGGACCAGAGUGGACUUACCGCUGGUGUACCAGUUGUUCUGCCAAGAGCAUCGCUGGGUAGCUAUGUAGGGAAGGGAUAAACGCUGAAAGCAUCUAAGUGUGAAGCCCACCUCAAGAUGAGAUUUCCCAUGAUUUUAUAUCAGUAAGAGCCCUGAGAGAUGAUCAGGUUGAUAGGUUAGAAGUUGAAGUGUGGUGACACAUGUAGCGGACUAAUACUAAUAGCUCGAGGACUUAUCCAA